rnacentral:SRP_RNA from 1 species
GCCGGGCAUGAUGAUGGGUGCCUGUAAUCCCAGCUACUCUGGAGGCUGAGGCCGGAGGAUGCCUUGAGCCCAGGAGUCCAAGGCUGCAGUGACCUAUAAUUGCCACUGCACUCUAGCCUGGGCGACAGAGUGAGACUCUGUCUCAU